rnacentral:rRNA from 1 species
CAGUAGCCACGGGAAUACGUAGGUGGCGAGCGUUGUCCGGAAUCAUUGGGCGUAAAGGGAGCGCAGGCGGGCAAGUAAGUCUUUCUUAAAAGUUCGGGGCUCAACCCCGUGAUGGGAAAGAAACUACAUGUCUUGAGUACAGGAGAGGAAAGCGGAAUUCCCAGUGUAGCGGCGAAAUGCGUAGAUAUUGGGAGGAACACCAGUGGCGAAGGCGGCUUUCUGGACUGCAACUGACGCUGAGGCUCGAAAGCCAGGGGAGCGAACGGGAUUAGAUACCCCCGUAGUCCCUGUCUCUUAUACA